rnacentral:rRNA from 1 species
ACUCAAAGGAAUAGACGGGGGCCCGCACAAGCGGAGGAGCAUGUGGUUUAAUUCGAUGAUACGCGCGGAACCUUACCAGGGCUUGAAAGUUAGUGAAUGAUUUAGAAAUAGGUCAGCAAGCAAUUGCACGAAACUAGGUGCUGCAUGGCCGUCGUCAGCUCGUGCCGUGAGGUGUUGGGUUAAGUCCCGCAACGAGCGCAACCCCUAUCAUUAGUUGCCAGCGGGUAAUGCCGGGGACUCUAAUGAGACUGCCCGCGUAAGCGGUGAGGAAGGCGGGGAUGACGUCAGGUCAUCACGGCCCUUACGUCCUGGGCUACACACGUGCUACAAUGGCCGGUACAACAGGAAGCUACUUAGCAAUAAGAUGCAAAUCCCGAAAGCCGGUCUCAGUUCGGAUCGAGGUCUGCAACCCGACCUCGUGAAGCUGGAUUCGCUAGUAAUCGCGCAUCAGCCAUGGCGCGGUGAAUACGUUCCCGGGCCUUGUACACACCGCCCGU